rnacentral:rRNA from 1 species
CGGCGUGCUUAACACAUGCAAGUCGAACGAAAAAGGUUAAAAUGAGAGCUUCGGUAGGAUUUCUUUCCAUCUUAGUGGCGGACGGGUGACUGACGUGUGGACAACCUGCCCUGUACUGGGGAAUAGUCAUUGGAAACGAUGACUAAUACCGCAUGUGGUUCUCGGAAGGCAUCUUCUGAGGAAUAAAGGAUUUAUUCGGUACAGGAUGGGCCCGCAUCUGAUUAUGUAGUUGGUGAGAUAACAGCCCACCAAGGCAACGAUCAGUAGCCGACCUGAUAGGGUGAUCGGCCACAUUGGGACUGAUACACGGCCCAAACUCCUACGGGAGGCAGCAGUGGGGAAUAUUGCACAAUGGGCGAAAGCCUGAUGCAGAAACGCCGCGUGAAGGAUGAAGGGUUUCGGCUCGUAAACUUCUAUCAAUAGGGAAGAAACAAAUGACGGUACCUACAUAAUAAGCCCCGGCUAACUACAUGCCAGCAGCCGCGGUAAUACGUAAGGGGCAGGCGUUAUCCGGAAUUACUGGGUGUAAAGGGAGCGUAAGCGGCAUGAUAAGCCACAUGUGAAAGCCUUGUGCUUAACCCGAUGAUCUGCAUUUGGAACUAUCAAGCUAGAGUAUCCGAGAGGAAAGCUGAAUUCCUAGUGUAGCGGUGAAAUGCCUAGAUAUUAAGAAGAACACCAGUGGCGAAAGUGGCUUUCUGGAUUGAAACUGACGCUGACGCUCGAAAGCGUGUGGAGCGAACAGGAUUACAUACCCUGAUAAUCCACACCCGAAACGAUGAGUGAUAGGUGUCGGGGAGGAAUCCUCGGUGCUGCAGCUAACGCAAUAAGCACUCCAUAUGGGGAGUACGACCGCAAGGUUGAAACUCAAAGGAAUUGACGGGGGCCCGCACAAGCGGUGGACCAUGUGGUUUAAUUUGAAGCAACGCGAAGAACGUUAACAAGGCUUGACAUCCCGAUGACCGUCCUAGAGAUAGGAAUUCUAUUCGGAGCAUCGGUGACAGGUGGUGCAUGGUAGUCGUCAGCUCGUGUCGUGAGAUGUUGGGUUAAGUCCCGCAACGAGCGCAACCCUUAUCUUCAGUAGCCAUCAUUCAGUUGGGCACUCUGGAGAGACUGCCGUGGAUAACACGGAGGAAGGUGGGGAUGACGUCAAAUCAUCAUGCCCCUUAUGUCUUGGGCUACACACGUGCUACAAUGGCUGGUAACAAAGUGAAGCAAGACGGCGACGUUAAGCAAAUCUCAAAAACCCAGUCCCAGUUCGGAUUGUAGUCUGCAACUCGACUACAUGAAGUUGGAAUCGCUAGUAAUCGCGAAUCAGCAUGUCGCGGUGAAUACGUUCCCGGGCCUUGUACACACCGCCCGUCACACCAUGGGAGUUGGAAGCACCCGAAGUCGGUGACCUAACCGUAAGGAAGGAGCCGCCGAAGGUGAAGCCAGUGACUGGGGUGA